rnacentral:rRNA from 1 species
AGAGACAGCAGUCGCCGGCGGGAAAACAGAGGGUGCGAGCGUUAAUCGGAUUUACUGGGCGUAAAGCGUGCGUAGGCGGCUUUUUAAGUCGGAUGUGAAAUCCCUGAGCUUAACUUAGGAAUUGCAUUCGAUACUGGGAAGCUAGAGUAUGGGAGAGGAUGGUAGAAUUCCAGGUGUAGCGGUGAAAUGCGUAGAGAUCUGGAGGAAUACCGAUGGCGAAGGCAGCCAUCUGGCCUAAUACUGACGCUGAGGUACGAAAGCAUGGGGAGCAAACAGGAUUAGAUACCCCAGUAGUCCCUGUCUCUUAUU